UCUAGAACUCCAGAUAUGGGUUGAACACUGAACAGUGUCUGGGUUGUAGGACAGAUUCUGACUUCUCUAUUGUUGCUACAAUUUGAACUUGAAACGGUCCUUUUAAAUCUUGGACUCUUCAUGAAAGUUUUAGGCCUAUGUCUUAGCUUUCUAUC
rfam:Populus trichocarpa scaffold_11_contig_556, whole genome shotgun sequence.